rnacentral:rRNA from 1 species
UACAGAGGGUGCAAGCGUUGUUCGGAAUUAUUGGGCGUAAAGCGCGUGUAGGCGGCCUUGCAAGUCGGGUGUGAAAGCCCUCAGCUUAACUGAGGAAGUGCGCCCGAAACUGCUAGGCUUGAGUACCGGAGAGGAUGGCGGAAUUCCCCAAGUAGAGGUGAAAUUCGUAGAUAUGGGGAGGAACACCGGUGGCGAAGGCGGCCAUCUGGACGGAUACUGACGCUGAGACGCGAAAGCGUGGGUAGCAAACAGG